UGGCAUGAUUGAUUUAGCUCAUG
rnacentral:miRNA from 1 species